rnacentral:rRNA from 1 species
UACGGGAGGCAGCAGUGGGGAAUAUUGCACAAUGGGCGCAAGCCUGAUGCAGCAAUGCCGCGUGUGUGAAGAAGGCCUUAGGGUUGUAAAGCACUUUCAAUAGGGAGGAAAAGUAAUAGCUUAAUACGUUAUUACCGUGACGUUACCUAUAGAAGAAGGACCGGCUAACUCCGUGCCAGCAGCCGCGGUAAUACGGAGGUCCGAGCGUUAAUCGGAAUUACUGGGCGUAAAGCGCGCGUAGGCGGUUUACUCAGUCAGAUGUGAAAUCCCCGGGCUCAACCUGGGAACUGCAUUUGAUACUGGUAGGCUAGAGUAUGGUAGAGGUGAGUGGAAUUUCAGGUGUAGCGGUGAAAUGCGUAGAGAUCUGAAGGAACAUCAGUGGCGAAGGCGACUCACUGGGCCAUUACUGACGCUGAGGUGCGAAAGCGUGGGUAGCAAACAGGAUUAGAUACCCUGUAGUCCACGCCCUAAACGAUGUCAACUAGGUGUGUGAGAGUUUAACUCUUGCGUAUCGAAGCUAACGCGAUAAGUUGACCGCCUGGGGAGUACGGCCGCAAGGCUAAAACUCAAAUGAAUUGACGGGGGCCCGCACAAGCGGUGGAGCAUGUGGUUUAAUUCGAUGCAACGCGAAGAACCUUACCAUCCCUUGACAUCCACAGAAGAGACCAGAGAUGGACUUGUGCCUUCGGGAACUGUGUGACAGGUGCUGCAUGCUGUCGUCAGCUCGUGUUGUGAAAUGUUGGGUUAAGUCCCGCAACGAGCGCAACCCCUAUCCUUAUUUGCCAGCGCGUUAUGGCGGGAACUCUAAGGAGACUGCCGGUGAUAAACCGGAGGAAGGUGGGGACGACGUCAAGUCAUCAUGGCCCUUACGGGAUGGGCUACACACGUGCUACAAUGGCAGGUACAGAGGGCAGCAAUACCGCGAGGUGGAGCGAAUCCCACAAAGCUUGUCGUAGUCCGGAUUGGAGUCUCAACUCGACUCCAUGAAGUCGGAAUCGCUAGUAAUCGUAGAUCAGAAUGCUACGGUGAAUACGUUCCCGGGCCUUGUACACACCGCCCGUCACACCAUGGGAGUGGGAUGCAAAAGAAGUGGCUAGUUUAACCUUUCGGGGAGGACGGUCACCACUUUGUGUUUCAUGACUGGGGUGAAGUCGUAACAAGGUAACC